rnacentral:rRNA from 1 species
CCUACGGGUGGCAGCAGUGAGGAAUAUUGGUCAAUGGGCGGGAGCCUGAACCAGCCAAGUCGCGUGAAGGAAGAAGGUACUUAGUAUUGUAAACUUCUUUUGUCGGGGAACAAAGGCGGAGACGCGUCUCCGGAUGAGUGUACCCGAAGAAAAAGCAUCGGCUAACUCCGUGCCAGCAGCCGCGGUAAUACGGAGGAUGCGAGCGUUAUCCGGAUUUAUUGGGUUUAAAGGGUGCGCAGGCGGGAGAUCAAGUCAGCGGUAAAAUGUCGGGGCUCAACCCCGGCCGGCCGUUGAAACUGGUUUUCUAGAGUUGGAGAGAAGUAUGCGGAAUUCGUGGUGUAGCGGUGAAAUGCAUAGAUAUCACGAAGAACUCCGAUUGCGAAGGCAGCAUACCGGCUCCAUACUGACGCUGAGGCACGAAAGCGUGGGGAUCGAACAGGAUUAGAUACCCCAGUAGUC